rnacentral:rRNA from 1 species
GACGGAGGAUGCAAGUGUUAUCCGGAAUCACUGGGCGUAAAGCGUCUGUAGGUGGUUUAAAAAGUCCACUGUUAAAGAUUGAAGCUUAACUUCAAAAAUGCCGUGGAAACUUUUAAACUUGAGUAUGAUAGGGGUAGAGGGAAUUUCCAGUGGAGCGGUGAAAUGCGUAGAUAUUGGAAGGAACGCCGGUGGCGAAAGCGGGCCGCUGGACCUCUACUGACGCUGAGGCGCGAAAGCCAGGGGAGCGAACGGG